rnacentral:rRNA from 1 species
AUGAACGCUGGCGGCGUGCCUAAUACAUGCAAGUCGAGCGAACGGACGAGAAGCUUGCUUCUCUGAUGUUAGCGGCGGACGGGUGAGUAACACGUGGAUAACCUACCUAUAAGACUGGGAUAACUUCGGGAAACCGGAGCUAAUACCGGAUGAUAUUUUGAACCGCAUGGUUCAAAGGUGAAAGGCGGUCUUGCUGUCACUUAUAGAUGGAUCCGCGCUGCAUUAGCUAGUUGGUAAGGUAACGGCUUACCAAGGCAACGAUGCAUAGCCGACCUGAGAGGGUGAUCGGCCACACUGGAACUGAGACACGGUCCAGACUCCUACGGGAGGCAGCAGUAGGGAAUCUUCCGCAAUGGGCGAAAGCCUGACGGAGCAACGCCGCGUGAGUGAUGAAGGUCUUCGGAUCGUAAAACUCUGUUAUUAGGGAAGAACAUAUGUGUAAGUAACUGUGCACAUCUUGACGGUACCUAAUCAGAAAGCCACGGCUAACUACGUG